GGGCGAAUGGUUUAGUGGUAUAAUACUCCCUUAGCAAGUUUCUUCUGAAGCCUCUAAUUAUGGGAGUGGUCCAGGGUUCGAUUCCCUGUUCGUCCA